GAAAGAGGGCGAGGGGGCUGAUGCUGAAAAACCAGCCGAAGAAAAGCCUGAAGAAGAUGAUGCCAAGGAUGAAGUAAAAGAAGAGGAAAAUAAAGAAGAAGAAAAGAAAGAAGAAGAAGUAAGUAUCGAUUUUUUUUAUUAAUUUUUACACAGGUAUAUAUAGUUUUCUUAAAUAAAAUCUAUCCAAGUUAGUGCACUGCCAAGCUGUUUCUUCGCAGGAGAUGAUUGCCUCGCUAUUCUACACGGCAAUGCAUCCAGUGUUCUUGGCAACAAUACCUCACGGAUUUAUUUAAAUUUUGUAUUAAGUUCAUUUUAAUUUUGCUUAGUAAUUAUUUUUACAAUUUUAUUUAGCCCGAAGAAGUAAGUGGCAACAAUUUUUCACGACAAGUGCAAAUUGUACCUAUAUUUGUUUUAUUUUUUAAAAUACAUAAUGCAGGUAUUAUCUGUAUCUAAUUUGUUUUAGUGGGUUUUGGUUAAUAAAAUUUUGCAUAGCUGUUAUGCUUAUUUCCAAUUUAUCGGUGUGUGUACUGUUUGUUUGUAAAUGCUUUAAUGCACAAAGAAAACACGUACGAAUGUAAAUAUACAUGGAUUUUAUACAUAUAUUUUACUUCAUAAUCCAUGUUGAACCGAUUCUUGCAAAUUAAUUUCAGGAAAAGAAGGACGAAAAAGAAGCAAAGGAAGAAGAAAAGGAAGAGAAGGCAGAAGAUAAAGUAAUUUCUUUUUUAUUUUUAAAAUCUUUUAAAAGUUAGUCAAUUAUUUACUUAUUUAUUACAAGUUUGCACUAAACUUUUUAUUGGUAAAUUUUAUAUUUCAAGAUAAAGUAAUUUCUUUUUUAUUAUAAAUAUUAACAUGGUUACUUAAUUGUCAAAUAUGUUUGUAGUAUACAGGACAGGACACAUAUAUAAAAUGUACAUAACAGACACAUGUAAUGUGUCACUGACUUAUAUAUAUAUGUAUAGAAUACAAUAAUUCAAAAGUAAUUAAUUUUUAAUUUUAAACAAUUAUAUAGUUGAUUAAUUAUUUAUUAUAAAUUUGAAAUUAAGUACUUAAUUUAUUGUUGGUAUUUCUAUUUCAGGAGAAAGUAAUUUCUUAUUUUAUAUUAAUUAGUUUUAUUUUAAAUAAUUAUGUAGUUAGUUAAUUAAUUAGUUAAGUUAGCUAAUACUUGGCUGCUUAUUUUAUUAUUGGAAAAUUUUCUAUUUCAGGACAAAGUAAUAAGUUCUUUUUUUUUAAUAUUUACACAGGGUUAUUUUUAAAACACCAAGCUCGCAGACAUGAUGUCAGCUUUCUUGUACUACGAGAUUUCUCGUGUUGUAGAAGUAAUCCUGUAUAGUUAGUUGAGAAUUUCGUUUUUUAUUAAGUUUGUACGUAGCUGUUUAAUACAUUGUUCGUAAAUUUUCUAUUUCAGGAUAAAGUAAUUUACUUUUUAUUUUUAAAUAAUUAUAUAGUUAGUAUAUUUAGUUAUUUAUUAUAAGUUUGAAAUUAAGCACUUAAUUUAUUGUUGGUAUUUAUAUUUCAGGAUAAAGUAAUUUCUUUUUAUACUAAUUAAUUAAUUAGAUAGUUAUUUGGUUAAUUAUUUAUUUUAUAUUUAAACUUAGCUACUUAAUUUAUUGUUGGAAAAUUCUCUAUUUCAGGAUAAAGUAAUUUCUUUUUUUAAAAAUUAAUUUAUCGACAUAAAAAUUGUUUUACAAAGAAAAGUAGGCAACAGAUUAUAAUGAAAAAUACUCCAUUGACAAGAACCUCGUUCAUAAACUAAUUGAUUGUGACGAUCUAUACUAUUUUAUAUCUAUAAUAAACUAUCUAUACUUAACUAUAUUAUAUCUAUAGUAAUAUAUAUUAAGACGUUUAGGGUGAUAAAUGGGUGAUAAUGAAAAUACCUCCAGAAAUAAAUUGAAAAAAUCUUAUUAUUUAUAAAAUUUUGUUUUUCCAAGUUAAAACAUAUAUCUGAACAAAUGUAUGUAUUAUGGUUCUUUAAUGAAUAUACUGGCUUUUAAUUAAUUAUUAUUAUUUUUUUUUAUUAUUAUUUUUAGACCGUUAAA